AACGAACGCUGGCGGCAUGCCUAACACAUGCAAGUCGAACGAAGUCUUCGGACUUAGUGGCGCACGGGUGCGUAACGCGUGGGAAUCUGCCCUUGGGUUCGGAAUAACAGUUAGAAAUGACUGCUAAUACCGGAUGAUGUCUUCGGACCAAAGAUUUAUCGCCCAGGGAUGAGCCCGCGUAGGAUUAGGUAGUUGGUGGGGUAAUGGCCCACCAAGCCGACGAUCCUUAGCUGGUCUGAGAGGAUGAUCAGCCACACUGGGACUGAGACACGGCCCAGACUCCUACGGGAGGCAGCAGUGGGGAAUAUUGGACAAUGGGCGAAAGCCUGAUCCAGCAAUGCCGCGUGAGUGAUGAAGGCCUUAGGGUUGUAAAGCUCUUUUACCAGGGAUGAUAAUGACAGUACCUGGAGAAUAAGCUCCGGCUAACUCCGUG
rnacentral:rRNA from 2 species